rnacentral:tmRNA from 1 species
ACACCGACAAUUAAUCAUGAAAUAAGCAUGUAGAAAGCUAAUGGUAGCGAUGUUUGGACAGGGGUUCGACUCCCCUCGACUCCACAA